rnacentral:rRNA from 1 species
CGUGUAGGCGGCUUGACAAGUCAGAUGUGAAAUCCCUGGGCUUAACCCAGGAAGUGCAUUUGAAACUGUCUGGCUAGAGUAAGGGAGAGGAAAGUGGAAUUCCUGGUGUAGAGGUGAAAUUCGUAGAUAUCAGGAGGAACACCGGUGGCGAAGGCGACUUUCUGGCCCUAUACUGACGCUGAGACGCGAAAGCGUGGGUAGCAAACAGGAUUAGAUACCCUGGUAGUCCACGCUGUAAACGAUGUUCACUAGGUGUUGGGGGUAUUGACCCUUUCAGUGCCGCAGCUAACGCAUUAAGUGAACCGCCUGGGGAGUACGGUCGCAAGAUUAAA